GUUUUACCUUGACGAAUUGUAGUUUAAAGAAGUGUUUUCUGUUGAAGUUUUGGUAAGAGUUCUUUGGAAUAGGACAUCAUAGAGGGUGAGAAUCCCGUAUUUGACCAUUAUUUUCAGCUGUGUGAUACACUUUCAAAGAGUCGGAUUGUUUGGGAAUGCAGUCCAAAAUGGGUGGUAAAUUUCAUCUAAAGCUAAAUAUUGGCGAGAGACCGAUAGCGAACAAGUACCGUGAGGGAAAGAUGAAAAGAACUUUGAAAAGAGAGUUAAACAGUACGUGAAAUUGUCAAAAGGGAAGCGUUUGACACCAGUGUUGUUUUCUCGAAAAUCAAUUAAAAAAAGUUGGAUUUUGUGUUGUAUUGACCUUAACAGCUUUCUGCACUCUUUUCCUGCUUUUUUU
rnacentral:rRNA from 1 species